AGGAAGUGGGGAUGACGUCAAAUCAUCAUGCCCUUAUGACCUGGGCUACACACGUGCUACAAUGGGCGGUACAAAGGGUCGCGAACCCGCGAGGGGGAGCCAAUCCCAAAAAGCCGCUCUCAGUUCGGAUUGCAGGCUGCAACUCGCCUGCAUGAAGCCGGAAUCGCUAGUAAUCGCGGAUCAGCAUGCCGCGGUGAAUACGUUCCCGGGCCUU
rnacentral:rRNA from 1 species